rnacentral:sRNA from 1 species
AAGAGAAGAGGAGGCUAAAGGAAGAGAUUGAAAGGCGAAGAGCAGAAGCUGCUGAGAAACGCCAGAAGAUGCCAGAAGAUGGCUUGUCAGAUGACAAGAAACCAUUCAAGUGUUUCACUCCUAAAGGUUCAUCUCUCAAGAUAGAAGAGCGAGCAGAAUUUUUGAAUAAGUCUGUGCAGAAAAGCAGUGGUGUCAAAUCGACCCAUCAAGCAGCAGUAGUCUCCAAGAUUGACAGCAGACUGGAGCAGUAUACCAGUGCAAUUGAGGGAACAAAAAGCGCAAAACCUACAAAGCCGGCAGCCUCGGAUCUUCCUGUUCCUGCUGAAGGUGUACGCAACAUCAAGAGUAUGUGGGAGAAAGGGAAUGUGUUUUCAUCCCCCACUGCAGCAGGCACACCAAAUAAGGAAACUGCUGGCUUGAAGGUAGGGGUUUCUAGCCGCAUCAAUGAAUGGCUAACUAAAACCCCAGAUGGAAACAAGUCACCUGCUCCCAAACCUUCUGACUUGAGACCAGGAGACGUAUCCAGCAAGCGGAACCUCUGGGAAAAGCAAUCUGUGGAUAAGGUCACUUCCCCCACUAAGGAGCCUGUUUCUAAAGAAACCCAUGCUGUGAAAUAGAGACUUUUCUACUGAUCAUCGUAACUCUGUAUCUGAGCAGUGAUGCCAACCACAUCUGAAGUCAACAGAAGAUCCAAGUUUAAAAUUGCCUGCGGAAUGUGUGCAGUAUCUAGAAAAAUGAACCGUAGUUUUUGUUUUUUUAAAUACAGAAGUCAUGUUGUUUCUGCACUUUAUAAUAAAGCAUGGAAGAAAUUAUCUUAGUAGGCAAUUGUAACACUUUUUGAAAGUAACCCAUUUCAGAUUUGAAAUACUGCAAUAAUGGUUGUCUUUAAAAAAAAAAAAGAAA